rnacentral:rRNA from 1 species
UACGUAGGGACCAAGCGUUGUUCGGAUUUACUGGGCGUAAAGGGCGCGUAGGCGGCUUGGCAAGUGAAAGGUGAAAUCCCUCGGCUCAACUGAGGAACUGCCUUUCAGACUGCUUUGCUUGAGGCCGGGAGAGGCGAGUGGAAUUCCCAGUGUAGCGGUGAAAUGCGUAGAUAUUGGGAGGAACACCAGUGGCGAAGGCGGCUCGCUGGACCGGUUCUGACGCUGAGGCGCGAAAGCGUGGGGAGCAAACGGG